UUUGUACUCCCUCCGUCCCAAAAUUCUUGUCUUAAAUUUGUCUAAAUACGGAUGUAUCUAGUUACAUUUUAGUGUUAGAUACAUCCGUAUCGAAAUAAAUGUAAGACAAGAAUUUUGGGACGGAGGGAAUACUAC
rnacentral:pre_miRNA from 1 species